UUUUUUUUUUUUUCCGGCUUUUUUUGCCUUUUGAGGGCUGCACCCGCGGCACAUGGAGAUUCCCAGAAGCUCUUAUUAAAUACCUAUCUAUAAAUCAAGCAGCAGAGGAGUAGAACCACCAUGAUUGGAGGUGGUUCAAUAAGGACUCAAUCCCUAAGGCUGGGGAUGGUGACAGCACAUGGCUACUUUCUGGGGGGUAGGGAAGUGAAUAAAAUUGGAGUUCUAUCAAGACAGUUGAGGAGAAUUGUUAUUGAGUAGAAAACUAACAUCUACAGUGAAGAAAGGAUGGAUUGAUCAAAAAACAGCACUGCAACACUGGCUGACUAAAGAAAAAGUUUAGAUAUUAACUUCAUUCCAAACACAAAAGUAAAUUCUUAAAUAAUUAAAUAUAAAUAAAUUAAUAAUCACAAUAGCAAAACUCUAAGAGUAUUAUAAAAAUACAGGAACAUAUUUAUAAUCUUUUGGCAGGGAUCACCUUUCAAAGAAAUUCACAAACCCAAAUACAACAAAAGAAAAAAAAAAAACAGAACAGACUUAACCACAUGAACAUCAAAAAUUUCUUUAAGACUAAAACAAAAUAAAAAUACAAACAGCAAAUGGAGAAAAAAUAUUUAUAAGUUUCACAGUGAAGGACAAAUAUCUUAGUAAUAAUCAUAAGAAAAAAAAUCAACACUAAUAAAGAAGUGAACAUUGACCACGCACAGGCCAUUCACAAAAAGAAAAAUGUAACUGACCAACAAACAUAAGGAAAUUAUUCAAUCUCACUAAUAAUAAAACAGAUACCAAAAAAUAUUUAUACAGAAAUAAAACAUCUAUCAGACUGACAAAGAUUAAAUAAUUAGAAACAAUAAUUAUGUGAGGUGAGGGGAAUGUAUGCACUCAAAGACCGAUAAGGGAAUUAAAUAGGUAUAGUAGCCUAUUUGAAAAGUAAUUUGGUAAUACCUAUUAAAUUUUUCGAUGUACCUAUUCUUUAACAGAGCAACUCAGAGUUCCCUGGUGGCUCAGCAGGUUAAGGAUAUGGCGUUGUCACUGCUGUGGCGUGGGUCUGAUCCCUGGCCUGGGAACUUCCACAUGCAGCCAAGACAAUACAAAAUCUAACAAAGCAACUCCACUUCUGGGACGUUGGGCAAUACUUAAGACAUGCAUACAUAGGUUCUAUGUGUAAUAAUAUUCCUGACUGGAAAUACAUGAAAAGAACAUGAAGAGAAGGAUAAUGUGGUGACCAGCCACAAGAUGAGCCUUGGUAAUUCAUGCUCUUGUGUAGUCCCUUCCUACAAUGAAUUAGGGCUGGCUUUGGGCAAGAAACAGAAAUAUGUCAGAAGUGACCAUCUGCAGAUAGGUCAUAAAAGGCAUUGCAGUUUCUGCCUGCAUCUGUUAGAUCAUUCUUUCUGUGGAAGCCAGCUACUGUGACAUGAAGAAGCCCCACGGAGAGGGCCAUGUAGAAAGAAACCAAGACUCCAGACAAUCAUUAGCACCAAUGUGCCAGCCAGAAAAGUGAACCACUUUAGAAGUGGAUCCUCCAGUCCCAGUCAGCCUAGCUGACAUACGACUGCAAAAGCAUGAGAGACUCCAAGAGAGAAAUGGCCAGCCAAGCUUCUUCCAUAUUUCUGAACAAAAACCAUGAGAUAAUAAGUGAUUACCACUGUUUAAUACCACUAAGUUUUAGUGUGAUCUGUUAUGCAGCAACAGUAAAACAAUACCUAAUUAUGGUCUGUCCAUACCCUAGAAUAUCCUAUAGCAAUUCAAAAUUAUGUGCCUCUACAUACAUCUGCAGUUAUUUGCAGCACCUCUGGUUAGUUUUAAAAAGCAAAGUAUUAAAUAACAUGUGUUGUGUGAUCUUAUAUAUAUAAAAUAUACAUAUUUUAAGAUUAUUUCUAUGUACACAAAAGUCUGAAAGGAUACUCAUGAAAAUAUAAACAGGAAAUAUCAAUAAUGGUGAGAAUAUAUAGAUCAUUCUCAUUUUGUUAUGUUUAUUAUUAUCUAUGCUUUUCUCAAUAAACACGUAUUUUUCUUAUUAAAAAAAUCUAUUUUUAACUUGGUGGUGAUUAGGCGAAGAACUCAAAACAGGAAAAGUUUCAGUACCUGAUUUUAACAUUUCAUUGAUUGUAUUCCUUUCCUCCAUUGAUAGAAUCAUCCUUCUUGGUGAUUUCAACUUCCUCAGAGACGAUCCAUUCAAUGAUCUGGAUUCUCCUUUCUUCAAACUUCUUCACUUCCAACAUUUAUCUCCAACCCAUUUCAGUUACCCCUCCCCCAGCAUCAUGUUUAUAUUUGAUUAUGAGCAGUAGCUGCAAGAUCACUGAAAUCUUGACUUUAAGCAUCCCCAUCUCAUAGCCUCCUAGGUCACCAGCUUCCUCUAGUGACUCCACUGUGCUAGCGUCAAGCCUACCCAAACAGCUAGAUGAUUGAUUCCAUCUCCUUUUUACUGUUCAAAAACCCAUUCGAUAUAUUCCAUUCCCACUUUACCUCAAGGAUCUCUCAUAAUUCAUUAUGAUAAUCAAUCCCUUUAUACACUGAAAUCCAAUGUUCCACUCUCACUGUUUCAUAUUUUUCUGAGGAAAAAGCAACAAUCCUGGUUAAACCCAACUCUCCUCCUAUUCAACACCUACUGAAGAAAAAUAAUCAACAUGCUAACUGGUUCUCAUUUUAAAUUCAGGACAAAAAGUAUAUAUUCAAGUAUAUAUAUUUAACACCAGGCAAAAUUCUCACUACACUCCUUUAGAAAAUUUGCUUUCACUGUCUCCGGGAUAGCUGUUUUUGAGCUUCUCAAAUUCUAACACCUGCUCUAACUUCUCUCUGAGAGAUAUCUGAUUUCACUAAAAAAACAGAAGCAAUUAGAGGAAAAAACUACAAUCAUCCCAUCAGCUGUUAUAUUGCAGUUAAACUGCCCCUGAACCACUGUGAGGGGCUUCUUCCAUUUGCUCAGCAGAUCCCAGCCUUUCCAUGCCAGCCCAAGAUUUUGCUCCCGCUAUAAUUAUUAUCUAGCCAAUCAUUUUCUCUUCUCCACUGGAUCAAUGUCAUCAUCAUUACAAACACACCAUAUCUGUCAUCUUAAAAAAUAAAAAUAAAAUCCUUUCUCCAACCGUAUGUCUCCUUUCAUGUACUGCCCUAAUUCUCUGUUUCUUUUUUUUUUUUUUAAGGUAUCUCGAUGGGAAUUAUAUUUUUAUUUAUUUUUAACUGAAGUAUAGUUGAUUUACAAUGUUGCAUUAGUUUCAAGUAUACAGAAAAAUGAUUCAGAUGUAUAUAUACAUAUAUAUAUUCUUUUUCAUAUUCUUUCCCAUUGUGGUUUAUUACAAGAUAUUAAAUAUAAUUCCUUAUGCUAUACAGUAGGUCCUUGCUGAUUAUUCUAUAUAUAGUAGUUUGUAUCUACUAAUUUCAAACUCCCAAGUAAUUACUCCCCUACCCUUUUCCCCUUUGGUAACCAUAUUUGUUUUCUAUGUCUGUAAGUCUGUUUCUGUUUUGUAAAUAAGUUCAUUUGUAUCAUAUUUUAGAUUCCACAUAUAUCAUAUGAUAUUUGUCUUCGUAUGACUUACUUCAUUUAGUGUGAUAAUCUCGAUCCAUGUUGCUAUUUCAUUCUUUUUUAUGGCUGAGUAAUAUUCCAUUGUGCAUAUGCACCACAUCUUCUUUAUCCAUUCAUCUGUCAAUGGACAUUUAGGUUGUUCCUAUGUCAUGGCUAUUGUAAACAGUGCUGCUAUGAACAUUGGGGUAUGUGCAUCUUUUUGAAUUAUAGCUUUCUCCAGAUAUAUGCACAGGAGUAGAACUGCUGGAUCAUAUGGUUGAUACUUACAGUUUUUUAAGGAAAUUCCACACUGCUUUCUACAGUGGCUGCACCAAUGUACAUUCCCACCACCAUUGUUGGAAGAUUCCCUUUUCCCCACACCCUCUCCAGUAUUUAUUAUCUAUAAACUUUUUAAUGAUGGCAAUUCAGACUGAUAUAAGGUAGUACCUCAUUUUAGUUUAGAUUUGCAUUUUUCUAAUAAUCAGCAAUGUUGACUUUUCAAGUGCCUAUUGGCCAUCUGAUGUUUUCUUUGGAGAAAUGUCUACUGAGGUCUUCUGACAUUUUCGAUUAAGUUGUUUGUUUUUGUUAUUGAGUGUUAUGAGCUAUUUGUAUAUUUUAUCUUUUCAUUUUGUUUAUGGUUUCCUUUGUUGUGCAAAAGCUUGUAAGUUUGAUUAGGUCCC
ensembl:lncRNA